UACGUAGGCAGCAAGCGUUGUCCGGAAUUAUUGGGCGUAAAGAGUUCGUAGGCGGUUACUUAAGUCUGGUGUUAAAGCCCGAUGCUCAACGUCGGCAUGGCAUUGGAAACUGGGUAGCUAGAGUGUGUCAGAGGUUACGGGAAUUCCUGGUGUAGCGGUGAAAUGCGUAGAUAUCAGGAGGAACACCUGUGGCGAAAGCGCGUAACUGGGGCAUAACUGACGCUGAGGAACGAAAGCCAGGGUAUCCAAAGGG
rnacentral:rRNA from 1 species